rnacentral:pre_miRNA from 1 species
UCUUAUGGAUGAGCAAAGAAAGUGGUUUCUUGAGAUGGAAUCUACUCCUAGUGAAGAUACGGUGAA